rnacentral:rRNA from 1 species
AUACGGGGGGGGCAAGCGUUGUUCGGAUUUACUGGGCGUCAAGAGAGCGUAGGCGGUUGAUCAAGUCCGGUGUGAAAGCCAUAGCGCUCAACGCAUGGACGUCAUCGGAAACUGGUCGACUGGAGUAGGGUAGAGGCAAGCGGAAUUGGUAGUGUAGCGGUGGAAUGUGUAGAUAUUACCAAGAACAUCGGUGGCGAAGGCGGCUUGCUGGGCCCUUACUGACGCUGAGGCUCGAAAGCGUGGGUAGCGAACAGGAUUAGAAACCCCUGUAGUCC